GCGGGGGUAGCCAAGCCUGGUUAAAGGCGUCAGACUCAAGAUCUGAUCCCGAAGGGGUUCGUGGGUUCGAAUCCCACCCCCCGCACCA
rnacentral:tRNA from 1 species